ensembl:lncRNA
CUUCCUUUCUCCUCUCCCUCCCCAACCCCACACCGGACUUCCUUCCCCCUCCCCUCCACCCGCGGCUGCCGGAGCCCCCAAGCCCGGGUUACACUUCAUGCAGAGUAGUUGAAGAAAAGAGGACAAUGCCUUUUCGCUAAAAGCAUCCUGUAAAGCAACAGUCUCCUUUGUCCUUCUCACUUCGUUACCAGCUCCCUCCUCCUCAACAGGUCUUAGUUGCGGCACACAGGAUCUUCAGUUUCGGCACACAGACUCUUAGUUGAAGCAUGUGGGAUCUAGUUCCCCAACCAGGGAUUGAACCUGGGGUCCCCUUGCACUGGGAGCUCGAGUCUUAGCCACUGGACCACCAGGGAACUCCCUAAGUGCUAACUUUAAAUGCUCUCCAGAUAUACCGAGUGGAACAAAAAUAAAAGGAAAAUACAACUAGGGAAGCUUAUUGUGUAUGCUCAGUCACUCAGUUGUCUCCAACUCUUUGCAACCCAAUGAACUAUAUAGCCCAUCAGCUUCUCCGUCCAUGGAAUUUUUCAGGCAAGAAUACUGGAGCAGGUUGCCUCCUCCCAUGAGGAAGGCUUGGAAGCAUGAAUUAAAAAAAAAAAAUCAAGAUAAGGAAGAGCUAAAGAGGUAAAUGAGACCCAAGAGGCCCUUCAAUUGUU